AGAGUUUGAUCCUGGCUCAGGACGAACGCUGGCGGCGUGCCUAAUACAUGCAAGUCGAACGAAGCUUUCUUUCACCGAAUGCUUGCAUUCACCGAAAGAAGCUUAGUGGCGAACGGGUGAGUAACACGUAGGCAACCUGCCCAAAAGAGGGGGAUAACACUUGGAAACAGGUGCUAAUACCGCAUAACCAUGAACACCGCAUGAUGUUCAUGUAAAAGACGGCUUUUGCUGUCACUUUUGGAUGGGCCUGCGGCGUAUUAACUUGUUGGUGGGGUAACGGCCUACCAAGGUGAUGAUACGUAGCCGAACUGAGAGGUUGAUCGGCCACAUUGGGACUGAGACACGGCCCAAACUCCUACGGGAGGCAGCAGUAGGGAAUCUUCCACAAUGGACGAAAGUCUGAUGGAGCAACGCCGCGUGAAUGAAGAAGGCCUUUGGGUCGUAAAAUUCUGUUGUCAGAGAAGAACGUGCGUGAGAGUAACUGUUCACGUAUUGACGGUAUCUGACCAGAAAGCCACGGCUAACUACGUGCCAGCAGCCGCGGUAAUACGUAGGUGGCGAGCGUUGUCCGGAUUUAUUGGGCGUAAAGGGAACGCAGGCGGUCUUUUAAGUCUGAUGUGAAAGCCUUCGGCUUAACCGAAGUAGUGCAUUGGAAACUGGAAGACUUGAGUGCAGAAGAGGAGAGUGGAACUCCAUGUGUAGCGGUGAAAUGCGUAGAUAUAUGGAAGAACACCAGUGGCGAAAGCGGCUCUCUGGUCUGUAACUGACGCUGAGGUUCGAAAGCGUGGGUAGCAAACAGGAUUAGAUACCCUGGUAGUCCACGCCGUAAACGAUGAGUGCUAAGUGUUGGAGGGUUUCCGCCCUUCAGUGCUGCAGCUAACGCAUUAAGCACUCCGCCUGGGGAGUACGGUCCAAGACUGAAACUCAAAUGAAUUGACGG
rnacentral:rRNA from 1 species